rnacentral:rRNA from 1 species
UGGGGAAUCUUGCGCAAUGGGCGAAAGCCUGACGCAGCAACGCCGCGUGCGGGAGGAAGGCCUUCGGGUUGUAAACCGCUUUCAGGAGGGACGAAGCUACCUGGGUUAAUAGCCCGUGGGGUGACGGUACCUCCAGAAGAAGCCCCGGCUAACUACGUGCCAGCAGCCGCGGUAAUACGUAGGGGGCGAGCGUUGUCCGGAAUCAUUGGGCGUAAAGAGCGUGUAGGCGGCUUGGCAAGUCUGACGUGAAAUCCCGCGGCUCAACCGCGGUAGGUCGUUGGAAACUGCCUCGCUAGAGUCCGGAAGAGGAGAGCGGAAUUCCUGGUGUAGCGGUGGAAUGCGCAGAUAUCAGGAAGAACACCCGUGGCGAAGGCGGCUCUCUGGGACGGUACUGACGCUGAGACGCGAAAGCGUGGGGAGCGAACAG